GGGCAGUUAGCUCAGUUGGUCAGAGCGUCCGCCUUACAAGCGGAAGGUCACCGGUUCAAGUCCAGUACUGCCCA
rnacentral:tRNA from 1 species